GGGCCCAUAGCUCAGCUGGUUAGAGCGCUUGCAUGGCAUGCAAGAGGUCAGGAGUUCGAAUCUCCUUGGGUCCA
rnacentral:tRNA from 1 species